CAAAAAAAAAAAAAAACUUGUUUUUGCAUUUGAUUUAUUCUAUUACUUUCUUUUCUGAGCAAAUGCACAUGUAUUUUCAUAUUGAGUUUGUGCAAUUAUUAAGGCAAGGAACACAUGCAUACUAUGACUGAUCAGAGACCUAUUAUUAGAUCUCCACACGUGUACUUAAUGACAAUACGAAGGCCUCAGGAGUUUAUAUUUGUUAAC
rnacentral:lncRNA from 1 species